rnacentral:lncRNA from 1 species
GGAAGGGGAAUAAAUAUCCUCUAGUUUUUCUCUCUUUCUUCUAGGGAUAAAUAAUUGCCCUCCGAAGUUGAUUUAAUCCCCUACUUAAAGUAGGCUUAAAUAGGCUUUAGAGGCGAUUUAUUUCCCUUCCUAGAAGAAUCUAAUUCCAAGUCCAAGUGAGAAUCUCCAUCAAAAUAGGAAAUAAUCCUAUGUUUUCUAAAGCAAGAAGAUCUCUACACUUGUUGCCCUUUCCUACGAGUAGCCCAACAGGUGUGGGGACAUUUGUGGAACAAAAAAUAAUCGGGAAAAAUAUGGAGGCGACACGUGGAUUCUAGGGUGAAAACGACAAAAUUACCCUCGAGGCACACCGAAGCUUCUAUGCGCAAGCAGCAGACAAUGAUGGCUCAAUCAAGGUCAAAAGUGAUCAAAAUAAGUAUUUAUUCAAAACCUAUUUCAUCCAUCCUCAUCAAAUCUCCGUCACAAGGUAACUCCCAAAUUAUUUCUCCUAAAUUAUAUUAAUUAGCAAAUUAAUUGUAAAUUACACCCAAAAAACCACUAAAGUGGCAGGUUCCCAUCUCUCCCAAAGGGGCAUGCCACACCCCUAUAAAUACCACCCCAUUUUCUCCAAAAACCUAAGUUGAAUCCGCUUGCAAAAUUCUCUAAAUUCUCCAAACACUUUUCCCUCAAAAUUCUAACUUUGGCAUCGGAGGUUCUUCAGCCAAAGCCCCCUCAUUCAUCGUAGGAGCGUGAGGCUCUUGACCUUGACCUAAGGUGUUAAUUGUUGUGUAGGUACAAUUUUGUCCAAGAAGAAGAAGACGUAAAUUUGCAUCCACAAGCACAGUUAACUGUAAAAAUACCAAAUAAAGGCUCAAUAAUUUAUGCAAUUUGGUCAAAUUUAUACAAUUUCCAGCAAAACUCAGUACUCAAUAAUACAAAAGGAACGCAAUAAAUGAUUAAAGAAAUAUUAUUUACAAUUUUUGCAAGUCCAAAGAAACCCAUUUGAUCAAACUCGCCGAAUACUGGAAAAAAAAAUUACAAAUUAAAAAUUACCCCAACAGCUAAUGGAGCCAAAGCCAAACCCCAGAGCUUCGAAGGGCAGAAAUGUUCACAGAAACAUGAAUAGUCCUUCUUCCUUCCCCACUGCUUGUGGAGCCAAAAAUAAUCAAGAAAAUUAUGGAGGCGACAUGUGGACUUUUGGGAUAAAAAGACAAAAUUACCCUUGAGGCACAUCAGGAUUCCCAUGCACUUGUAACGGACAAUAGCAGCUCAACCAAGGUCAAAGGUGAUCAAAAUGGUAUUCUUUUAAACCCUCUCAUCACUUCUCAUCAUAUCCUCACCCACAAGGUAACUCCCAAUUAUCCUUUUCAAAUUGGGAUUAAUUGCCAAAAUCAAUUGAUUAAUUUCCUAAUUAAUUGAUUAAUUGCCAAAACAAUUACAAGAUAUUAUUUCAUAUAAUAUCUUGCAAUCAAUCCCACAAAUCAACAAAAUGUGGCCAGCCCCAAUUCUCCUAAUAAGGUCUAUCACACCCCUAUAUAUAGCCACUCAUUUUCUCCAAAACUAAGUACAUUCUUCUCCUAAAAUUCUCUAAACACUUUCUCUCUCAAAUUCUAACUUUGGCAUCGUGAGGCUCUUGGUCUUGACCUUAGGUGUUAAUUGUUUUGCAGGUGCAUUUUCAUCCAAAAAGAAGAAUGCAGAAAUUUGCAUCCACAAAUUGGUGCUUUCAUUGAGAGCCUUGAUUUACAUGCUCGUAGAAGACUCUUGCAUUCAAUGUUUCUAAUUUUUUGUUCAUUCGUAGAUUUUUCGUACGUUCUUAUUUUUAGAAUUUUUUAUGCA